GCGCCCGUAGCUCAGCUGGAUAGAGCAUCAGACUACGAAUCUGAGGGUCAGGAGUUCGAAUCUCUUCGGGCGCGCCA
rnacentral:tRNA from 37 species